rnacentral:lncRNA from 1 species
GGCGGGAUGAGCGUCGAGAACGUGAUCUGCUGCGAACGGUACGUGGCGUAGACGUCAAGCUUGUCGUAGUAGAUGCCGAGCUUGUCGUUAGGGUUUCGGGAGGAGAUGGUGACCUGGAAGCUGGAGGAGAAGACGUUGGGGACGGAGGUGUUGAAGUUGAAGACAGUGACGUCUUGGAGGACGAAGCGGGGCUUGGAAGGCUGGAGGAUAGCCCACACGAUGAGAAUUGUGACGAGGAGGAUGAAGUUGAAGAUUAGGAGGCCGGCACAGCAGCGGCGGAUUAUCUUCCGUCGCUUGCUGUGGCCAUGGUGGCCGCAGUCCUUCGAUGACAUAGC